UACGAAGGGGGCUAGCGUUGCUCGGAAUCACUGGGCGUAAAGCGCACGUAGGCGGCUUGUUAAGUCAGGGGUGAAAUCCUGGAGCUCAACUCCAGAACUGCCUUUGAUACUGGCGAGCUUGAGUUCGGGAGAGGUGAGUGGAACCGCGAGUGUAGAGGUGAAAUUCGUAGAUAUUCGCAAGAACACCAGUGGCGAAGGCGGCUCACUGGCCCGAUACUGACGCUGAGGUGCGAAAGCGUGGGGAGCAAACAGG
rnacentral:rRNA from 1 species